GGGCCCAUAGCUCAGCGGUUAGAGCAGAGAGCUCAUAACUCUUUGGUCGCUGGUUCGAUCCCAGCUGGGCCCA
rnacentral:tRNA from 1 species